rnacentral:lncRNA from 1 species
AGUGAGAAGCGCCACCUUCAAGUGAACGUCACCAACCCGGUGCAGUGCAGCCUGCAUGGGAAGAAAUGCACCGUAUCCGUGGAGACCCGGCUUAACCAGCCACAGCCUGACUUCACCAAGAACCGCUCCGGCUUCAUCCUCAGUGUGCCCGGGAAUUGACUGCUGCACACCGGAGGCCUGGCCCAGGGGAGCAAGAGCCUGGGCCUGGCACACAGCAGGCCAGGUCCUCGGCCUCGCCAUCCCCACAUCUGUUCCACCUCGCUCAACAUCCCAGGAGCUCGGCUAAUCGCUGUUUGCCCUCUAAUGCCACUAGAAAUCAGCUUGCAAGGGCCUCCGCUGGGCAGGACUCCUCUGCCUUUUCUGUGGCCCUGCUCAUGACCUGUCCUACCUGGCUUUCUGCCUCUGCCCUGCCUCUGCUCUCUCAACUUUCCAUACUCCCUGCUCAGGAAACCAAAGACCCUCUUCAGCCUGCUGGGCUGACAGCUAGACCACUUCCCACCCCAAGCGACUGGAUGGCUCCUGUAGUUGGCAGGAGUGCAGUGGCCACUGCUGACCCCAGCAGAGGGAUGAGAGGCCCGGAGCCCAGGACGCAGUUUCUGGAUCCAAAGCCACAUUAUCUUAGAGGUUUGGAUCCAGCAUCCGUGGGCAGAGGGAUUGGCCCUGCUUUGUGACCCCUACCUGAUGCCUCCUUCCACAACAUGAUUGCAGCCCUUAGAACCUAGCUCAGAGCCCCUCAGCACAAGCCCCGCCCCCAGCAGCCAGCCAAAGCCACUGGGUGAGCGGGUACAUCUGCGGAGCCCAUCCCUCAGCCUCGAUCAACCAGGAUCCCUCCUUCCCAGAGCCUGUCCCUGGGAGAGCUUUUGCCACCAAGGUUCUAGCCCUGGACUUUCUAACCACUUCUCUCAUGGAGACACCCUGCUGCUACUCCAAGGACCAGUUUGCUUAACUCACAGCCCACAUCCAUGGUCAUCUUAACCUUCUUUCCUGCAGAUUGCCAGGUUGCUAAUCUGCUGUCCCCUCUGCUGUAAGCACAGUGUCAGGACCUAGUGAGGAGGUACAAGGAGCAGGCCGUGCUUGGAGUGCCCAUUCCCCCUAACCCUCUGGCUGCGCCUCCUCCUCACUGGAGACCCGGAACUCUGAGAGAGCCAAAGCACACAGGACCCAGCAGUGUGGGUUAGACAAAGCUGCAGCUAAGAUCGGGGAGUCCUGGCACUGCAGGCCAGGCCAGGGUCCCCACCUAAGCCACAUAAUCUGCCUGCCGGAGCCUGGCCCCCGAGCCCCCUCCUGGGAAAGUGCUGCCCAUUUGCCAGUGUCUGCCCAGGAGGAAGGGCAUCUGCUUCAGAGGCCUUCCUGAGACCCCUGCUCCCAGCCUCAGCUGGUAAGGCCUCUGGGUGGCACAGGCUUGCUGUGGGGAAGCCCAACACGGAAAGUUUGCAAGAGGCGAGAGGUUUGUAGGAGGCGAGCGAGCCACAGCGCUUUCAGAGCCAGGCUCACAUUUUCUUCACUUUUGACCCGACUCUGCUCCCUAAUUCUCACCCUGCCACCCUAACCCACCAAGUGCCUAUGCGCUACCUCCUGUGCCUUGGCCCGGGCCUGAGGGAGUCACCUGGCUGGCCACGGUGGUUCCAGCACCUGGUCUCCUAACCCUUUUGCAGAGCUGUGGGGACAGGGACGUUUACACUGCAGGCAGUUUGCAACAAAACUCCUGUUGCCAUGCUGCCCUCGAGAGGCGUUCUCAUCCCCCAAGCCUGGUGAGCUGCCAGUUGUGCGGACCUGACGGAACCACGUGACUGGAACCACGUGACUGGAACCACGUGACUGGAACUUCACCUUCCCACCCCACUUACCGCCCCAGCGUGUUGCGUUACACUAGACAUGCUAAGUGUGUUCAUACACACCAAAGCAGUUAUGCCAAAAGAGUCGCGGGUCAGAAGGGAUGGCUCCCCUCCCACCCUCUGAUGUAGUCUGGGACCCCUGGCCCAGGCCAGCACCUCCCACUGAGGGCUGCCCUGUCCACGAGCACUUUCUUAUGUCCUAAAAGUCAGCGUGUGGCCACUGAAGGACCUGGAAUUAGAGGUGUGGAUGAUCACAGUAAGAGCUCGGGAGAGGACACAGUGAUUGUAUGCAUGGAGUAGGGGUCUCUUGAGUUCAUGAAAUGCAGUUUAUGGUUUGGUGCAUAUAUUCCUAUUUUCCAUUAAAUUAACUUUAUUUCUAAAGCAUAUUUUGAUUUACCAUCAAGAGCAAUAAAGCAUUAAAUCUUAUUUUAAA